GACGAACGCUGGCGGCGUGCUUAACACAUGCAAGUCGAACGGAAAGGCCCUGCUUUUGUGUGGUGCUCGAGUGGCGAACGGGUGUGUAACACGGGAGUAACCUGGCCUGGACUUGGGGAUAACUUCAGGAAACUGGGGCUAAUACCGGAUAGGAGCUCCUGCUGCAUGGUGGGGGUUGGAAAGUUUCGGUGGUUGGGGAUGGACGCGCGGGUUAUCAGCUUGUUGGGCGGGUAGUGGCUUACCCAGGCUUUGACGGGUAGCCGGCCUGGGAGGUUGACCGGCCACAUUGGGACUGCGAUACGGACCAGACUCCUACGGUAGGCAGCAGGGGGGAAUAUUGCACAAUGGGCGGACGCCUGAUGCAGAAACGCCGCGUGCGGGAUGACGGCCUUCUGGUUGUAAACCGCUUUAGCCUGUGACGAAGCGUGAGUGACGGUAAUAGGUAAAGAAGCACCGGCUAACUACGUG
rnacentral:rRNA from 1 species